UGAAAGAGGCAAUAGAUGAUCUGCUGCAAAAGUACCAUGGGAAGAAGGACAUCCUGAAGCUUGUGGAUCAAGAUUAUGCAGACAUGGUCCAUCGUUCUGCUGCAGAUCCCAACAGCCUGCUGCAUCCCACAUCCAAGGUGCACAUAUCCCGUUAUGUGAAGCACUUGGCUAAGCUUCUCAACACCAAUUAAUCUUUGAACACAAGCCCAGAAAAACUUCUGGAGACUCAGCAGCUGUGGCACUCAUUAACGGAAGGCAGUGAAACAACUAGUGUUCCCGUAGUCACCAUAGAGCCUGCCGUCUUUAACCCGCCUCCUCCUGCCCUGUCUGCACCACUGACUCAAUAGAGAAGAUUGUGGAGGGCAUCUUAGAAAAGCAACAGCAGCAGCAGCCUGAGGGAAAAAGAAGGCAGACAAAGACUUGUCUUGCCUGUGGACAGCCCAAGUCUCAAUAUGAGACACAUGGAUCCACCGUCCACUAUUUUUACCAGAGAGGGCCUGUGCUCUAUUUCUAUUGUUCCAACAAGGUGCAUCAAACUUAUGCUGCUGAGGGAAUCAGUAACCCGAAAAUGCCCUUUGAGGAAUUUGCCCAGACAGAAUUUUUCCAAAGGGAUCUGGAUGCUACCAGGAAGAGGUCAGAGGAAAGGAUGGAGAAAAAGAGGAAAAGGCCAGAAACCCAAGAAACAGGCCGCCUCUGCAGGUUCUGCCACAUGGACCUGAAACAGGGACCAAAUAGCCCACAUGUUCAUACGGGUUUCCCUGGAGUGGCAGGGAAAUAUAUCUACUGCCCUUCAAAAGUGCACUCUCUGUACAGGGACAAGGGCAUGGCCAAGGAGAUGACCUGGAAGGAGUUUCAGGAGUCUCCUUUCUAUGAGGCAGAGAGACAAAGAUGGGUGGAAGAAAAAAAGGAAAUAGGGGAGAAACAGUUUAUAUUGUAAAUAAGAUAGUUUUGUUCUAGUUUCGUAAUGUUUAUUUUGUUUAUAUAAAUAAAAACUGAUUGUAAAUAUAAAAUGUAAAUAAAUUGUGUUCUGUAAAA